rnacentral:rRNA from 1 species
UACGGGGGGGAGCAAGCGUUGUCCGGAUUUACUGGGCGUAAAGAGCGUGUAGGCGGCCAAGCAGGUCCAUUGUGAAAACUGGAGGCUUAACCUCCAGACGUCGACGGAAACCGCGUGGCUAGAGUCCGGAAGAGGAGAGUGGAAUUCCUGGUGUAGCGGUGAAAUGCGCAGAUAUCAGGAAGAACACCAAUGGCGAAGGCAGCUCUCUGGGACGGUACUGACGCUGAGGAGCGAAAGCGUGGGGAGCGAACAGG